UACGGAGGAUGCAAGCGUUAUCCGGAAUGAUUGGGCGUAAAGCGUCCGCAGGUGGCUAUGUAAGUCUGCUGUUAAAGAGUGAGGCUCAACCUCAUAAGAGCAGUGGAAACUACACGGCUAGAGUGCGUUCGGGGCAGAGGGAAUUCCUGGUGUAGCGGUGAAGUGCGUAGAGAUCAGGAAGAACACCGGUGGCGAAGGCGCUCUGCUAGGCCGCAACUGACACUGAGGGACGAAAGCUAGGGGAGCGAAUGGG
rnacentral:rRNA from 1 species